CCGAUUGAUUCUGUCGGCGGUUAUAUGCUUGUCUCAAAGGCUAAGCCAUGCAUGUCUAAGUUCAAAUAAACCUAUAAUGGUGAAACCGCGAACGGCUCAUUAUUACAGCUAUAAUGUACUUGAUGUUGAUUAUCCAACGUGGAUAACUGUGGCAAUUCUAGAGCUAAUACAUGCACCAAAGCUCCGACUUUUGGACGAGCGCAUCUAUUAGAUUAAAACCAAUCGGGUUAUUGGCCCGUUAAUUGGUGACUCUGAAUAGCUAUGGCUGAUCGCAUGGUCUUGUACCGGCGACGUAUCUAUCAAGUGUCUGCCUUAUCAACUUUCGAUGGUAGUUUAUGUGCCUACCAUGGUUGUAACGGGUAACGGAGAAUAAGGGUUCGACUCCGGAGAGGGAGCCUGAGAAACGGCUACCACAUCCAAGGAAGGCAGCAGGCGCGCAAAUUACCCACUCUCAGAAUGAGGAGGUAGUGACGAAAAAUAACGAGACCGUUCUCUUUGAGGCCGGUUAUCGGAAUGGGUACAAUUUAAACCCGUUAACGAGGAUCUAUGAGAGGGUAAGUCUGGUGCCAGCAGCCGCGGUAAUUCCAGCUCUCAAAGUGUAUAUC
rnacentral:ncRNA from 1 species